rnacentral:rRNA from 1 species
AAGAGCUCAAAUUUAUAAUCUGGCACCUUCGGGGUCCGAGUUGUAAUCUCUAGAAGUGUUUUCCGCGUUGGACCGCACACAAGUCUGUUGGAAUACAGCGGCAUAGUGGUGAAACCCCCGUAUAUGGUGCGGACGCCCAGCGCUUUGUGAUACACUUUCAAUGAGUCGAGUUGUUUGGGAAUGCAGCUCAAAUUGGGUGGUAAAUUCCAUCUAAAGCUAAAUAUUGGCGAGAGACCGAUAGCGAACAAGUACCGUGAGGGAAAGAUGAAAAGCACUUUGGAAAGAGAGUUAACAGUACGUGAAAUUGUUGGAAGGGAAACGCUUGAAGUCAGACUUGCUUGCCGGAGCUUGCUUCGGUUUGCAGGCCAGCAUCAGUUUUCCGGGGUGGAUAAUGACGGUUUGAAGGUAGCAGUCUCGGCUGUGUUAUAGCUUUCCGUUGGAUACGCCCUGGGGGACUGAGGAACGCAGCGUGCUUUUUGCGAAAGACUCGUCUUUUUCACGCUUAGGAUGCUGGUGGAAUGGCUUUAAACGACCCGUCUUGAAACACGGACCAAGGAGUCUAACAUGCUCGCGAGUAUUUGGGUGUCAAACCCGGAUGCGCAAUGAAAGUGAAUGUAGGUGGGAACCGCAAGGUGCACCAUCGACCGAUCUGGAUUUUUUAAGAUGGAUUUGAGUAAGAGCGCGUAUGUAGGGACCCGAAAGAUGGUGAACUAUGCCUGAAUAGGGCGAAGCCAGAGGAAACUCUGGUGGAGGCUCGUAGCGGUUCUGACGUGCAAAUCGAUCGUCAAAUUUGGGUAUAGGGGCGAAAGACUAAUCGAACCAUCUAGUAGCUGUCUG